AUGGCUUGGAAAAAUUCAGUUCAGAGUUCAAAGCGCCACCUUGCAACAAACAGCGCCAUGGAAACAGCUGUGGAGUGUUUGCAUUGAUGACUGCCAAAUGUUUGGUCAUGAAAAAGCAUCCCACAAUGUUGCGACAGGCCCAUGAUUCAGUUUAUCGAGACUAGUCGUGAGACGCAGACUUCUGAUUCAUGGGGUGCGGCAAACAUAUCUGUGCGACUCGAUGACUUCACUGUAAAGACCCGCACGGCAUUAAAAUGGAUAUUAUCAAUAUGUGUUGUUUCUCGAAAAUAUGUUUUUGUAGCAGGAAGUGCUUUGGGCUCGAUUAAUCUGAGAACUCAACAAAAUAUUAAUAAAAUCCUUCUGUGCCAAAAACA